rnacentral:rRNA from 1 species
GACGAAGGUGGCGAGCGUUGUUCGGAAUCACUGGCAUAAAGCGCACGUAGGCGGUGACAUAAGUCGGGUGUGAAAUCCCUCGGCCUAACCGAGGAACUGCGCCCGAUACUGUGUUGCUUGAGGACCAGAGGGUGCAUGGAAUUUCCGGUGGAGCGGUGAAAUGCGUUGAUAUCGGAAGGAACUCCGGCGGCGAAGCGAUGCACUGGCUGGUUUCUGACGGCUGAGGUGCGAAAGCCAGGGAGCAAACGGG